GAUGAACGCUGGCGGCGUGCCUAAUACAUGCAAGUCGAGCGAACAGAUGAGGAGCUUGCUCCUCUGACGUUAGCGGCGGACGCGUGAGUAACACGUGGAUAACCUACCUAUAAGACUGGGAUAACUUCGGGAAACCGGAGCUAAUACCGGAUAAUAUAUUGAACCGCAUGGUUCAAUAGUGAAAGACGGUUUUGCUGUCACUUAUAGAUGGAUCCGCGCCGCAUUAGCUAGUUGGUAAGGUAACGGCUUACCAAGGCAACGAUGCGUAGCCGACCUGAGAGGGUGAUCGGCCACACUGGAACUGAGACACGGUCCAGACUCCUACGGGAGGCAGCAGUAGGGAAUCUGCCGCAAUGGGCGAGAGCCUGACGGAGCAACGCCGCGUGAGUGAUGAAGGUCUUCGGAUCGUAAAACUCUGUUAUUAGGGAAGAACAAAUGUGUAAGUAACUAUGCACGUCUUGACGGUACCUAAUCAGAAAGCCACGGCUAACUACGUG
rnacentral:rRNA from 1 species